rnacentral:pre_miRNA from 1 species
AAAGUACUCCCUCCGUCCCAAAAUUCUUGUCUUAGAUUUGUCUACAUACGGAUGUAUCAAGUCACAGAUACAUCCGUAUCUAGACAAAUCUAAGACAAGAAAUUUGGGACAGAGGGAGUAGUUG